rnacentral:rRNA from 1 species
GAUGAACGCUGACAGAAUGCUUAACACAUGCAAGUCAACUGUGGCGGACGGGUGAGUAACGCGUAAAGAACUUGCCUCACGGAUAGGGACAACAUUUGGAAACGAAUGCUAAUACCUGAUACUGUGAGAGAGCUUUGCGUCCCAUUAGCUAGUUGGAGAGGUAACGGCUCAGCAAGGCGAGGAUGGGUAGCCGGCCUGGGAGGGUGAUCGGCCACACGGGGACUGGGACACGACCCUUGGUCCUACGGGAGGCAGCAGUGGGGAAUAUAGGACAAUGGGCCAAAGUCUGAUCCAGCAAUUCUGUGUGCACGAUGAAGUUUUCGGAAUGUAAAGUGCUUUCAGUUGGGAAGCGGUACCAACAGAAGAAGUGACGGCUAAAUACGUGCCAGCAGCCGCGGUAAUUC